rnacentral:rRNA from 1 species
UACGUAGGGUGCGAGCGUUGUCCGGAAUUAUUGGGCGUAAAGGGCUCGUAGGCGGUUUGUCGCGUCGGGAGUGAAAUCCACUGGCUUAACUGGUGGCUUGCUUUCGAUACGGGCAGACUGGAGGUAUGCAGGGGAGAACGGAAUUCCUGGUGUAGCGGUGAAAUGCGCAGAUAUCAGGAGGAACACCGGUGGCGAAGGCGGUUCUCUGGGCAUGUACCUGACGCUGAGGAGCGAAAGUGUGGGGGAGCGAACAGG